ACCCACGAUUUCGACGUGAAGAUGCGCUCGUUGCUGAAGUUCCUUGAAGAAGGCGACAAGGUGAAGGUCACGCUGCGCUUCCGUGGCCGCGAGAUGGCGCACCAGGAACUGGGGCUGGAGCUUCUGAACCGCGUGGCCGCGCAGGUGGCCGAAGCCGAAGCCGGCAAGGUCGAGUCGAUGCCGAAGCUGGAAGGCCGGCAGAUGGUGAUGAUGAUCGGCCCGAAAUAGGCCCGGCAUUCACGCCCGUCAGAUCACAUGGGGGAGCCUGCGGCUCCCCUUUUGUUUGCCGCGACGCCCGUGCCA
rnacentral:misc_RNA from 1 species